rnacentral:misc_RNA from 1 species
UUGCAUUCCUAUGGACAG